CUGUGGCUGCAGUUUCCCAAAUUAUCCAAAUUAGUACUCAAAAGAGGAGAGUUCUGAGGCCCGGCAACUCUGAGAAAAUCCUGAAAAACCUUGUGAUAAAAAGUUCAACACAAGUCAUUGGUUGGGAGUAGAAGGCACUCUGCAUGGUCGUCUGGAACCAGGGUUUGCCCACCUGAUGGGUCUCCAUUUGCCCCGGCCUUGGACUUCUCCACUGGCUGCUCUGAUUUCACUUGACAGAUCUGCAUGGAACAAUGUGGCUUCUCUGCAUGACUGGAGUUUGUUUUGUCUUUGAAGAUAAUCUCACUAGGAUCAAGGCCAUACCUGCUGGAGAGUCAGGACUCUGGAUUUCUGAUUGUUUUCAGGACAGCUACUCUCAUCCUAGGCUGAUCUAAGUUUCUGGGUCUUCUCUGCCUGUUCUUUCCUCUCCCCUUCCCUUCUCUGCUGCAGAAAGUGUUUUAUGCGGGUGUCAGCAACAUCAGGACCUUCCAAACCCCUUGCCCAAGUAUCAUCCCUGAAUGCAAAACUCACUUAGAGGCCUAGGGAAGAGAUUAGAGCUCUGCUUUUCCUCUGCCACCUCAGGUGUGUUCUAGCUUACAAGACACUUUCACAGAAAAAAAAUUCAGGGAAUGGAAUGGGAAGGCAAAAAUAGCUGCUUGAUGCUGACUUGGCACAUUGACUUCGACCAAAUCACCCAGCGCCUCGUCCUUAGUACUCUGGUGACCACAGAAUAAUCCUCGCGCAGUGAGUAGUGGAGGUCAGGAGGAGUAAACUGCCUAGAUGUCAUGAAGGGAAAGCACUAGACUUGUGCAAAGUCUAUUCUUGUCCGUUUCCCUGUGAAUCCAGGUUGCUGAACAUCGGCCGAUGUCUGAGCUGUGGUUUCCUCCUGGUUUUGAAAUUUAGUUACUAGAAGACAAUGCUUUUGAAUGGCUUCUUUGCCAUGACUUUCAUAGGUCCUGCUGGCUGUUGCCUAAUGAAUGUCUGAUAGGCCUAGCCCCUUGGCAAAGCAAUGUUUUAUUUGCAAAAUUAUGCUUGUCCAGUGCCUCCUGGGAACUGAAAGCCUGGCAUCAGCAGAGGAACGCAAACCGGGCAAAUCAUGGAUCUCUAAGGCUUGCAUUGCUUGGGGGCCAUGGCACACAGCACUGCUAAAAGCCUAGGACAAUCUGUGUGUUUUAGGAGCAAACCAAUGCCUCGCACUUCUAAGCUGUAUCCUUUGCUCCCUCCCUGAGAGGCAGCUGUGUGCUCUGGACUUCCUAGGUAAGUGACUCACACCAACUAUAAGCCUGGCUUAUGACCUAGAAAAGGAAACAGGAAGUGGCUUAGAGACAUAAAGAGCACAGCCCAGAAGGGGCUGCCAUGGAAUUCUCCUCAGAUGAGAAGGGGUCCAAUGGCCAGAGGGGCAACUUGGCAUCCUCUCCUUCCCCACGUUACCACGAUGCCCUUGGCAGGGACCAUUUGAUGGGGAGUCGGAUGUCUUCCUGGGGAUGGUGAACAGGGGUGAGGGAGGGGGAACUGCUGCUGGGUCAGUAGCUCCUCUCCAGAGUGAGUCCAUCAGUGGAAUGCCAUGCCCCUUCUCUAUCCCGUCUUUGCAAGUGGGCUUGGGUUCUUGGGAUGAGUUUCAUCAGGCCUUAUACAUGCAGACUGUGAAGAGGUGCCUCCAACAAGAAAAACCAAUGUCUGGCAAGUCCUCUAAGGGCAGGGAUUCUGGAGAGGCCGCCCUAUCCUCAGCUUGGCCCUGGCACAUUCUGGCUGCAGAGAAAAUACUGACUGUGAAGAGCCGAGAAAGAUGACAUGAUGAAGCCAUCAGGGGAGGCACCAAACAUCCUCAACUCUGCUUACCUAUGGUUUUCUCCAGCCCUCCCAGAGCUCCUCCUGCGUGAGUAAUGCAGUGUGUGCUGGUCAAGUGUCUCACUGAAAAAAGAAAGAAACCCUGAUUUGCAGCAUUGGCCAAUUCCUGUAGUGUAAAUACUCCCACCAUGGCAGAUUUCAGGUUACCAAGGGUUUCACAACUGGUUCACAAGUCUUGACUGUAAUGACCAGCUCAUGCAACUCCAGCACCUCAUCAUCUCCGCCCUGUCCCAGAAAAUCCCCACAUCACACCCAGGCUGAAUGUCACUUUCAGCUUCUCAGUCAGAAGGAGAAGUGGUUAAAUAUACCAGGAUGCUAAUGACUAAGUAUCAGAAUGGUGAGUGUGGAGGGUCAGGAUGUCUGCCAAAUUGGAGAUGACUCUUCACUUCUCAAUCUUGGUGUCUCAUCUGGGGAAGUUGGAGGGAGACAUGCACAGCUUCUCAUGAACAGUCCUGGAAGCCCUUACCCCAAGGCCUCACGGGGCUCUCUCCAGGGCUUGCUCUUUCUCACUCUCUACUUUAAAAGCCUAUGAUUCAUUGCCAGAGAACAGAAGGCUCCAUCCUAAUGGGCCAAGUUGAAAACGGCGGGAUUGGGAGCUGUCUAGACUCUAGGUCCUGCCUUUUGUUUUGGCUGGUGUCAAAAUGGACUCUAGAAACUGGCCUCAGGAAGAUUUCCCAUCGAACAACCAAAGACUGAACAGCCUGGACUGACCUUUUUCUAAUUUUUAGGGGUCUUGUGAACAAGAGUCAGGUGGGCAGACAGCUCUUGUAAAGCUAAGUGUAACUAAAUUUGUCCAUAGCCUGUGACAGCAAAGAUCACAAAACUCUUCCUUCCCCUUUAGGGCCUGGGAGUGACGCCAAGUGACGCCGAACUGAGGGGAGAAUGGUGACCUAUUUUAUCUCCCAAACAUUGGGCAGUCAGUUGCAUUUGCAGAUUUAAAAUCCACCCACUCUGCUGCAGUUUCUGUUCUCGUGCCCCCCAGGCAUACUUAUGGCUGGAGCUGGUUUUGUAAAGUGGAGUUGGCCGUGGGUGUGGGAGUCCUCCUCGGACAGCCUGGUCUGACAGCCCCAGUCCACAGCCCUCCCAUGGGCUUUUGGGCUGCUCCAGUCCUGGCAGGUGCACAGCGCAGGGGAAUCUGGUUUUGUCCUGGUCUCAGCUGGGGAAGUCUAGUUAAAGAAAGAAAAGGUCAGCCGGGUGCAGUGGCUCACACCUGUAAUCUCAGAACUUUGGGAGGCUGAGAUGGGCAAAUCACGAGGUCAGGAGUUUGAGACCAGCCUGGCCAACAUGGCGAAACCCUGUCUCUACUAAAAAUACAAAAAUUAGCUGGGCGUGGUGGCGGAUGCCUGUAAUCCCAGCUACUCGGGAGGCUGAGGCAGGAGAAUCGCUUGAAACCGGAAGGUGGAGGUUGCAGUGAGCUGAGGACCCACCACUGCACUCCAGCCUGGGCAACAAGAGCGAAACUCUGUCUCCAAA